rnacentral:lncRNA from 1 species
GUCAAUUCUUUUCUCUUUUUCAUUCAUGUUUAUUACACAAGUAAGCCUUUGUCAAAUCCAACCCAAAUUCAUUGGAAAAAAAAUUAGAAAAUCCAGACAAAAAUGAAAGUUAAAACCAGCCAUAAUCUCAUGAUUUCGAGCUCCCACGGAGUUAACAGAUGUACGCACGUCUGAGGCAGUCAUGCGGCAAGAGACUUUGGGGCCAAUCCUUCCCGUUUUGACAGUGUGUAAUCGAGGUGAAGCCAUAAAUUUUAUAAACAAGAAUAAACGACCCUUAGCAACAUAUGUCUGCUCGACCCUUCCAAGGUGAUCGUAAAUAAAGGCACCUGCUCGCGGGGGAGGGACGUGGGCGCUGCAGAUGGCCAGUGACGAGGGCCAGAGGAUCUGAGCCUCGGGAGCAUCUGGUGCGGGGAGAGGUCACCCAGAGACCCCAGAUCCUGAGUCAGCUGGACGCAUUUCUGCCGUCGAUUCCAUCGGUUCUCCAGGCUGCCUUGGCGCCAGUGCCACCCUGAACCCGUGCCUACUUUUGAGGCCGCUUGUAUCGGGGCCAGCAGGUCCUCUGGGUUUAGGGGACCCUCUUCUCUCCCUGGCCCCAUGUAAUUGCUAAUCACGUCCUCAUCGCCACUGUCCCAAGAUGGCCACUCCCGGGCAUCUGAAGACUGGAGUCCUUGUCCUGACUCAGCUGCUGCCCACGGGAGACCUCAGGCAGCCGGAGUCACUGUGGAGUGGUAAGAACGCGCUGGAGGACUGUGUGACUUCAAGCAAAUGACUUCACCCUCUGAGCCUCAGUUUCCUCCCCUGUGACAUGGGGAGAAUAGCUGCGUGCCUCGGAGGGGUUCUGAGAAACAAGGAGGCAUAAAACCGCAGGACCGCGGUACAAUCGAGCGUGAGGGCGAGUGCUAAGUAAAUGCUACUCGUGGUGCUGGGGGCCUACAGCGCUGAUGAGAGCCUAGCUCCACCUCCUGGAGCCCAGGGGCCUUGAGAAAGUCAUUGCUCCUGUGGGCCUCAGCGUCUUCUCUGUAAGCCGGGGAUGAUGAUAAUAUGAACAGCACCACCUUCAAGGGCUGUUGAAAGAAUUAAAUGACCUGUUGCCUGGAGGUGCUCAGCAAGAUGCUGGAUACAAGCCGUGCUCAGUUUGUGGUUAUUAUUCACAUUUACUUACUAAUCUCCUCUCUCGGCCUCAGUUUCCUCAUCUGUAAAACAGGGGCAGUGAUCUCUGAGAUCCCUUUCGGCUCUCAUUGCUCUGUGACCAAGUUGCCUCUUUCUCAUUCUGGGGAUCUUGGGGGAGCCGUGUCCCCCUGGUCUGACGGGGACCAGCCCCCUCUGAAGGCCACCAGCGUCCCCCACCCUUGGCAAGUCUACACAAACCAGAGGCACUGCUCAGUGGUCCUCUGCCCUUCCCCUGGGCCUGAAAAGGAUAAAACAAGAUUCAACAACAAUAACUACAAUUUUUUUUGAGCUGCUGGCAAUGUGCCAGGCCCGUGGACUUAUUCCCU